GAUGAACGCUGGCGGCGUGCUUAACACAUGCAAGUCGAACGAUGAAGCCCAGCUUGCUGGGUGGAUUAGUGGCGAACGGGUGAGUAACACGUGAGUAACCUGCCCUUGACUCUGGGAUAAGCCUGGGAAACUGGGUCUAAUACUGGAUAUGACUUCUCAUCGCAUGGUGGGGGGUGGAAAGAUUUAUUGGUCUUGGAUGGACUCGCGGCCUAUCAGCUUGUUGGUGAGGUAAUGGCUCACCAAGGCGACGACGGGUAGCCGGCCUGAGAGGGUGACCGGCCACACUGGGACUGAGACACGGCCCAGACUCCUACGGGAGGCAGCAGUGGGGAAUAUUGCACAAUGGGCGCAAGCCUGAGGCAGCGACGCCGCGUGAGGGAUGACGGCCUUCGGGUUGUAAACCUCUUUCAGUAGGGAAGAAGCGAGAGUGACGGUACCUGCAGAAGAAGCGCCGGCUAACUACGUG
rnacentral:rRNA from 1 species